rnacentral:lncRNA from 1 species
CAGCUCCAUCCGGCUCCUCAUCUCCACAAGCACGAGUACAAAAUUGCUCCUCAAAUUUCGCAACUAUUACAACAGAAAUGGUACCAUACCUCUCCAUCCCUCGUUCCCCUCUCUUAACGGCAGCGUGGUGGCGUGCAGCCGUCCAGAGGACCACCGGCGACUGAUCUAGGCGCUUCACGCCCCGUUCCUGCCCCAGCUGGCACUAGCACGGCCGCGCCACCCGGCGUGGGUGCGAGCACCUGGCUCUGCGGCCUAGUCUGACAGCAACGGAUGCCUCGUGCAGCUUGGGCCAGCAGAUGCGGAAUGCCAGAGUAGCAGCACAAGCGCCCGAGCAGCGCUAGAGACGAUGUGUCAGUAGCACGCCAGCAUGCAUGGGGAUGGACGGAGGGAGUGACGUAGUGUGGCACAGAGCAAAAGAGGAUGGAGCUGGAGUGUGCUGCCG